rnacentral:lncRNA from 1 species
CCCGCCGAUCCCGGCCUUGAGCGAAGGCGAGUUUGAGGAGAUCAUGAACCGCAACCGCGCCAUCUCCAGCAGCGCCAUUUCCAAGGCGGUGUCCGGCGCCAGCGCAGGGGAUUACAGCAACGCCAUCGAGACGCUGCUCACAGCCAUCGCUGUCAUCAAGCAGUCGCGCGUGGCCAGCGACGAGCGGUGCCGCGUCCUCCUCUCUUCCCUCAAGGAUUGCCUGCAUGGAAUUGAGGCCAAAUCCUACAGCAGCAGCUCCAGCAGCAGCUCCAGGAAAAGGCACCGAUCCCGGGAGCGCUCUCCCAGCCGGUCCCGCGAGAGCAGCCGGCGGCACCGGGAUCUGCUCCACAGCGACGAUCGGCAUGAGGAUUAUUUCCCAGAGCGCAGCCGGGAGCACGAGCGGCAUCGGGACAGGGACAGAGACAGGGACCGGCACCACUGAGACAGGAAUUUGGCAGGAAGUGGUUUUUAAUGGACUCUAUCUCCUCACCUCGACCAGGAUGCCGUGCCCGAGGCUGCUCCGCCCCAUCCCGGUCCCUUCCUCGCCACCGCAGCCCCCUCCGGGCGGGACCCCCGCCCGCACCUCGUGGCCUUGGGAAUCCCCCCCACCACUGCUGCUGCUUCCUGGGGCCAUCCCGCUCCGCUCCGUGGAUACUCGGACCCAAAGAGAAAUGGUGCUUUUAUUCCAUGGAGGGAGGUUUGUGAGCCCUUCCCAGUCCGGGGGGGAACAGAGGAGACGGAGCCCUCCCUGUGCAGCUCGGGGGCUUGGAGAUGCACAGCUCCCGAUCCUGGGAUCAGGAGCCACGUGCCGUCCUCUGCAUUGCCUGGGGACACUCACGUCCCCAUCGCCCUGGUGGGACACUGUGCCACGCCCCUCCUUUGGCCCUUCACCCUCCAGGAGCUGGGAAAAAGGGGCUGGAGCUGGGUUGGGGGUCAUCCUCUCUCUCCCGACAUUCCCCACAGCAGCAUUCCCACGCAGAUGGCAGCUCCGGCCCCUCCCGCAGAGCCUUCCUUGUUUUAGAGGAAGCGGAAGAGGCAGGGCAGGCUGUGACCCCCUUGUGUCCCCCCAGAAUCCCAAGAAGGAGAGGGAGGGAGAGCCCAGGAGGGUCAGGAUGAGCUGGGACACACUGGGUGACUUCCAGGGCUGGAAUCACGUUUGGGUAGGAAAACCCAGGCCCUGGAAGUCUUUUUAAGUUGAAAUAACCUAAAUUCAGGAAAAACCACCCCGAUUUUCCCAAGCCCCACGAGGUGGGAGCACUCGGCAGGAGAGCUCCGGGUUUUUUUUUACUUACCGCCACAGAUUUUUAGUUUCUUUCCAAAUAGUGGAAGGGGGAAAAGAUUCCCCCCUAAUUGCAGAGCAAAUCCCUGGAAGCCCCGGCGAGGCGCCGCCCCUCCUGCUCGCAGUGAUUAGAUUUGUCUUUGGAUAGGUUGGAAUUGUGUAAUAAACUCAGAUGACGUUGUCA